GGCUCAGGACGAACGCUGGCGGCGUGCUUAACACAUGCAAGUCGAACGGUAAGGCCCCUUCGGGGGUACACGAGUGGCGAACGGGUGAGUAACACGUGAGUGACCUGCCUUUCUCUUCGGGAUAACCUCCAGAAAUGGUGGCUAAUACCGGAUAUGACUUCCUGCUGCAUGGUGGGGGGUUGAAAGCCUUGUGCGGAGAUUGAUGGACUCGCGGCCUAUCAGCUUGUUGGUGAGGUAGUGGCUCACCAAGGCUUCGACGGGUAGCCGGCCUGAGAGGGUGAUCGGCCACAUUGGGACUGAGAUACGGCCCAGACUCCUACGGGAGGCAGCAGUGGGGAAUAUUGCACAAUGGGCGCAAGCCUGAUGCAGCAACGCCGCGUGCGGGAUGACGGCCUUCGGGUUGUAAACCGCUUUCAUCCAUGACGAAGCUUUUUGUGACGGUAGUGGGAGAAGAAGGACCGGCCAACUACGUGCCAGCAGCCGCGGUAAUACGUAGGGUCCGAGCGUUGUCCGGAAUUAUUGGGCGUAAAGAGCUUGUAGGCGGUUUGUCACGUCGAAAGUGAAAACUCAGGCCUUAAUCCUGAGCUUGCUUUCGAUACGGGCUGACUAGAGGAAGGUAGGGGAGAAUGGAAUUCCUGGUGGAGCGGUGGAAUGCGCAGAUAUCAGGAGGAACACCAGUGGCGAAGGCGGUUCUCUGGACCUUUCCUGACGCUGAGAAGCGAAAGCGUGGGGAGCAAACAGGCUUAGAUACCCUGGUAGUCCACGCCGUAAACGGUGGGCACUAUGUGUGGGUCGCAUUCCACGUGAUCCGUGCCGUAGCUAACGCAUUAAGUGCCCCGCCUGGGGAGUA
rnacentral:rRNA from 1 species